UAAGCCAACGUGUAGCUUCUGAGCUCCAUUUAAAUACGGUGUAUAAAAAUAGAAAUAAGAAAUUGUUAGCUAAACUAUGUGUUCAUUAGCUGCGUUUUACCACACUAGCUACUAGAUUAGGCUGAUAUUAAAAAAAGAAACAUAUUCUAAGUAGCUAGCCAUCUAGCUAAUACUGUAGUUAGCUAACUGGCUUGUUAGUCACUCGAAGCAACUUGCUAUAGUUUGCAUCUCCACAUCAUGAACACAGGUCCAAGAUCAGUUCUACGUGUUACAUGGCUCUGAUUGUGGUACAUGCUAUGGUUUGUGUGCAGAACCCAGACCUGUUAGAGCUUGUGCUGUAGUUUAUCAGAUUGAUCUAGCUAGCAAUAUGGCUAGUCCUGGCAGGUCUCCCAAAAAAUCGUUUACAAAAAUUUGAGACCCUUCAGACUGGUCUAUGGGGGGCCAAUACAGUCAAAAACCACAAUUCAUGGCGGACGCUGAUGAAGCAUGGGUUGAAGAGUUAUACAAGCUUGGUUAUAAACCCAUCCUGCUUCUGGGAAAGGAGACCAGGAAGGGUAAUCAGAAGUGGGUAGCUGAAAUGGUGACUGCCUUGGUGACUUGGCACCCUGCCAGAGACCCCCCACCCCCUCCCCAGUGGACCCACAGUGACCUUCCUUUCAUCUGAGGCCUGGCAAGUGAAUCCACAGUGACCUCCCCUCCAUCUGAGGCCCAGGCCAGUGAACCCAUAGUGACCUCCCCUCCAUCUGAGGCCCAGGCCAGUGAACCCAUAGUGACCUUCCCUCCAUCUGAGGCCCAGGCCAGUGAAACCACAGUGACCUUCCCUCCAUCUGAAGCCCAGGCCAGUGAACCCACACUGACCGCCCCUCCUUCUGGGCCACUGGCCAGUGAACCUGCCAAGACAUCAACAUCCCAAGACAGCAGUGGGUGUGGACUUUUAUUAUUUAUGUAAACUGUGAUCAGUACAUUUAUUCUCCUGAAGUACAGUUGUGAGGCCAGAUUUUGAUAACCGGUUGAUAUAAUCAACACUUAUGUUUUUUUUUUUUUUUCUUUAGCUCCACUAGGCACAGAAAUGAAUAAACAUGCUGUGUUUGUAGGGGUGGCAUGUAGCAGCAUGGUAGUGUAGUUUAGUAUUGUGUCAGGUUUUUGAGCUGUUUAAUUUAUUGUUUGAAUAGUUUUUUAUUAGUUAUUAUUUUUUAGCUAUUAUGAGUUAUUAUUUUUUCAAGGCUAAGAACUUCAUGUGGAGACAGUUGUGAAGCACAGAGUUAGGGAGGUUAGUCAGAACUAAAUGUAAGGGAAGAACAUUGAUUUAACUUUGAUCCAAUAAGCAGGUGAAGGGUAUUUUCUUUAAAUACUACUAAUACACAUAUAUACAGUGCAUUGAGAAAGUAUUUGCCCCAGUCUGAUUUUCUGAAUUCUUGGAUAUGUCAUUUUGUGGGUUGUAUAUACACUGUGUGCACAAUUAUUAGGCACAUCAUAUUUCGCAAGAUUUAUUUUAUUGUAG